rnacentral:rRNA from 1 species
UUGUUGGUAAGGUAAAAGCUUACCAAGGCUUCGAUCAGUAGCUGGUCUGAGAGGACGACCAGCCACACUGGGACUGAGACACGGCCCAGACUCCUACGGGAGGCAGCAGUGGGGAAUUUUGGACAAUGGGGGCAACCCUGAUCCAGCCAUGCCGCGUGAGUGAAGAAGGCCUUCGGGUUGUAAAGCUCUUUCAGCCGGAACGAAACGGUUACGGAUAAUACCCGUGACUACUGACGGUACCGGAAGAAGAAGCACCGGCUAACUACGUGCCAGCAGCCGCGGUAAUACGUAGGGUGCAAGCGUUAAUCGGAAUUACUGGGCGUAAAGCGUGCGCAGGUGGUUUUGUAAGUCAGAUGUGAAAGCCCUGGGCUCAACCUGGGAACUGCGUUUGAAACUACAAGACUAGAGUGUGGCAGAGGGGGGUGGAAUUCCGCGUGUAGCAGUGAAAUGCGUAGAGAUGUGGAGGAACACCGAUGGCGAAGGCAGCCCUCUGGGUUAACACUGACACUCAGGCACGAAAGCAUGGGGAGCAAACAGGAUUAGAUACCCUGGUAGUCCAUGCCCUAAACGAUGUCAACUAGUUGUCGGGCCUUUACGGGCUUGGUAACGUAGCUAACGCGUGAAGUUGACCGCCUGGGGAGUACGAUCGCAAGAUUAAAACUCAAAUGAAUUGACGGGGACCCGCACAAGCGGUGGAUUAUGUGGAUUAAUUCGAUGCAACGCGAAAAACCUUACCUACCCUUGACAUGUAUCGAAGCCCGCAGAAAAGCGGGGGUGCCCGAAAGGGAACGAUAACACAGGUGCUGCAUGGCUGUCGUCAGCUCGUGUCGUGAGAUGUUGGGUUAAGUCCCGCAACGAGCGCAACCCUUGUCAUUAAUUGCCAUCAUUUAGUUGGGCACUUUAAUGAGACUGCCGG